rnacentral:rRNA from 1 species
UACGGAGGUGCGAGCGUUGUCCGGAAUCACUGGGCGUAAAGGGCGCGUAGGCGGCUUGGGAAGUCCGUGGUGAAAGCUCGAGGCUCAACUUCGAGUCGGCCAAGGAUACUCCUAAGCUCGAGUCGACUAGAGGCAGAUGGAAUUCCUGGUGUAGCGGUGGAAUGCGCAGAUAUCAGGAGGAACACCGAUGGCGAAGGCAGAUCUCUGGGCCAUUACUGACGCUGAGGAGCGAAAGCAUGGGAGCGAACAGG